CGCUCCGGUGGAUUAGUGGUUAGAGUGUCCGCCUCAAAUGCGGGAGGUUAGUGGGUUCGAUCCCCGACCGAGUUA